UGCAAUUUUGCAAGACAAGCCGUUCAAGUUUGGGAAGGUGAUCACAAGUAGCAUUCCAUUGAGAAACGUUCAGAUUGUCUAACUUCAAGAAUUUGAGUUCCUUGAACUGAUCUUCCUCCAUGUCCCAUAUCAGGCCCUCAAAGGCAUCAAGAAGUAAUUUGAGAACUUCCAGGUUGGGCAGUCUCCCAAUUGUUGAGAUAUGACUCCAUGGCAGAUGAAAGUUUGAAAGAGUCAAUUUCCUCAGAUUGGAAGGCAGAAUGAAUUCCCUGGUAAUAGCGCUUCCAUAGUAAAAUACAUUGAGUGACACCAAAUGAGUUAGACAAUCUAAUCUUGGAAACUGAUAGGAAUUCUUCGAAUAACCCUUUGGAUGAAAGAAUAUGCAUCUCAGUUUCUGGAGAUUUGGCAACCUCUUUGUUAUUGAUUCUGUAUCUUCACCACAAGAGAGAGAGAGACGGGAAAAGCUGACCAAAUUUCCCAACUGAGAGCAGCCUUCAAGCCCUUCAUCAUCCAAUUUGAAAGCAACAUGCAUAUUCACAUGAAGAUGCCUCAAUCUUGUCAUGUGCCAAAUAGUAUCUGGUAAAACAACCAGACCACGUAAUACCUUCACAACAAAAGUUUCUAGUUUUUGGAGAUUGGCAAUGGAUUGUGGAAUAGUUUGCAUAUAUCCAGCAACUGCCAAGUAUCUCAAAUGGACCAGUAACGAAAUGUCAGCAGGGAAGGUGAUACCCAGGUUGAUGCAUUCAAAAUCUAACACCCGCAGAAGUUUGAAGUUAUGACAAAUGAAUGAGAUGUCAUAUGGACUUCUGGGCUCUGAAUCAGCGGAGGGGAAGAAUAUCAAAGAACGAGUGCCCAGGCCAAAAGGUCUUGAUACAACAAAAUGAACUCGCUUCAAGAAAAUGCACAAUCGGUAGGCCUCAUAUGUUACAGGAUCAGAAUGAUGACCAAAAUCAAGUUCAAAACCAAAAUCUGAGCGAGGAAAAGAAAUAUAUGGCUCAUCAAACCUGGUUACUGGCCGGAAGAAGUUCUCUGCUCUGGCUUUUAACUGACAAAAAUCACGUAACAGAUCAUGCAAACGACAUGAUUUGACCAUUCCGUUGGAUCUUCUUUUGGAGACUUCCACCAGGCUUCUGCUAAUCAACUCCAUCAAGUAACCUUCAGCAAUAACUUCUAAGCUCUUCAACUCAGAGUCAUGAAUGAAACCUUCAGCAAGCCAAAACCGUAUCAACUUGCUAACAGGAAUGUCCUUGUCUUCAAGGAAAACUCCCAAAUACAGAAAGCACGGUUUUAGAUAUCCCGGUAAGUGUUUAUAACUCAAUUCUAAGAUUUCCAUGCACUGAGCUUUUGGAUCUUCCAUAACUUCCGCAACCAAGCCUUUUGCAAUUUUCCCCCACGAUGCUCUGCUCUUUUCUGUCUUUUGGAGGAGACCAGAUAUUGCAACAACAGUAAGAGGCAAUCCUUUACACUUUUUGGCAAUUUCUUUUCCAACAAGCAACAAUUCUUUGGGACAACCUUCACCAUGGAAUACUUUCUCUACUAAUAAGUUCCAACUUUCAUCAUCAGAAAAUAAGCGUAGAGAAUGAGGAUCAAUAUCUGGUUCAAUUUUCCAGGCCACAUCAUGAAGGCGGCUCGUAAUCAAAAUUCUGCUUCCAUUGGCAUCAUCAGGGAAUGCAUUUCUUAACUCAUUCCAAACUCCAGUAUCCCACACGUCAUCCAUAACGAUGAGAAACCUGUUUCUUAGUAAGCACUGAUGCAAUUUUAAUUGGAGAUCUUCGUCAGUCAUUUGCCGAAUUUCUUCCGUAAGCCUGAGAAUGCCACGUAAAAUCUCCAGCAGCAGUUCUCUUUUGUCAUAUUCUUGUGAAACAGUACACCAUGCACGACAAUGAAAGUGAGACAAAACCUUUUGGCAGUUAAACAGUUUCCAAGCCAUUGUUGUCUUGCCAAUACCGGGCAUUCCCACAAGAGAAACAAUACCAAACUUUGAGGAUCCCUUGACAAGUUGAUCAGUUAUAGAUUGUUCUUCAUCUCUGGGGUCCACCACCAUUCCAUUAAUUGCAGGUGUAGCAUCCCGUGAUAUCACGUUGCGUGGAACCUGGAUGACGUGUUUGUUAUCUAGGACUUUGGCUUCAGGGGUCAACUGAAUUCUAGAGGCUCGCUUAUUAACAAUUCUUAACUCCUCUAGUAGAUCAUAAACCAAAAAGAAACCUUGCCAUUGAGGAUCGACCACAAUUGAGUCAAUGACAAACUCAAUUUUAUAAGCAAUAUUGGCAACAUGACCACCAAGAACUUUCACUUCUGGAUUGUCAUUAUUAUCCAAAGACUCUGAGACUUUCAUGAGAAAAGAACCCAAAGACUUGAAAUGUAGAUGAAUUUCUUUUAUGUAAUUCCUGACUGGUUCAAUUGACGCAGGAUCAUAGUUCAGCAGUUCCUCCAGGCUUCUGAUGAGAAAUUCAACGAACCCUGGCUUGUAAGUCUUAGGAAAAUCAAACAAUGGAAAUUGGGGACUAACCACUCUGAGCUUAGACUUGAUAGGAUUCAGCUUAUCUUGCAGUCUAGAAGAUGAGAUGAUCAUAUUGUGGAUGGGUCCUGCCAUCCCUGCAUCAGAAGUUUCAGUUUGUGGGAAGAUCACGUCCACGUCCUGUGUCUCCUCCUUUAGCUGGUUGCAGAGAAUUGUGAAAAGAUUAAGAAGCACAAGAAGUGCAAUUUGAUCUUUUCGAUGAGCCUUGGAAUUUGCUGCCCUACUACUACUCUCAAGUUGUAACUUCACAAAUAAUGCUUCUGCUUUGAAAACAACAAUGUUAAGAAGCAAUAGGAGGAUUGAGUUUCUCACCGUGGAUUCUGUUAUCUUCUUGGCCUCAAACAACUGAUGGAGAGAUGCUGCCUUGUAGUCAACUUGUUUAAUGAGAGCCAAUGCCUUAUUCCCAUAUUCUGCCUCCCAAUGCGUACGAUUUUCCAAAAAACGUAUCAAUUUUUUAGGCAUCCAUUGGACAUCACCUUUAACAUGAUUGAGCAGAUCUUUAGUUCGGAAAGUGCUCCCUUGAUUGUUACAGAAAAGCAUUCCCUUGAGGAAAAGCUCCGUCUGAAGAAGAAAAACAUUUAUACGUAGCUCAGAAUGGCCAUGGAUAAGUUGCUCACCCUUUCGUUCCAUCUGUUUGAGGAAUUCCAUCUCUAUGAGCACCGUAUGAAUUUCUGCAAGGAAAAUUUGUAUAGUCUGAUCCUCUUCCUCCCCCUCCUCCUGUUGCUUCAGUUUGGUGAAGGCUAAAAGCUUUAACAGCCCAUAGAUCUCUCGAGAACAGAUCUCUCGAGUAUCUCUGAUCCUCACUUUAGUGGCAACAUAAUUGCUAUAAUGAGAGGAAAAAUCGGGCUUAACUCCUCCAAUUUUAUGGAGAGCCACAAGGAAAUGAAAAUGGAACUCCAUGAAUUUGGGAUUAGUAGGAUGAAUCUCAUGUUGCAAAUCCACUACAGAUUUAGUUAGCUUAAUCAUUUCUACCGUUUUGGUUUUGCCUUCGGUUUUCCCGUAGUGAAUCCGGUACUUAAGACUGUGGAUUGCAAUGCGUACCAUCACAGAUGCAACACGAGUGACGAAAUCAUUGAUAGCAUUUACAUCAUCACCACCUGCAGCAGCUGCUGCUGGGAAGUCGAGAUUCCUGGAUACACCUUCCAUGUAUUUCCCGAACAAUCUCAGCUCUUUGCGCCAGGCACCGAUUGGCUCGCUCCAUUUUGUAUCGUGCACAAUACCGGCCAGAGUGGUUACAAAUUGUAACCAAAAAGAAACAUCAGAUGGUGAUUGCAGUCGACACGACGACCACCCGGAUAAAUCCAAAAGGUGUUCAACAUCUUCUCCAAUCUCUUCCGUCCAUUUGAUGGUUUUACUGUAAUAAUCAUAGAGAGUUUUGCCAUUUACCCGGGAAAGCUUCAUCUGGGUGUUGUUCUUGUUUAUAAUUACAACAUGCCCACCAAUCUCCUCGGCUGCAGCUUCAAUCUUGAAUCCCAUAUUAAGCAGCACGCGCUCUGCAUCGAUAAAUUGCUUGUGAAUUGCUUCCGAAAUUAACCUCAAAAGCUUCCAAUCUCCCAAGAUGCGAUCGCGUUGACGCCAGUGUACCCGGUGACUUUUGUUUCCACGCGCAACUGCAUCGAUAAAUUUGCUACUUCCCCGUACAGCCUCCAAGAAAAAAACUAUGAUAUCAAAGCUGGAAAUAGCCAUCUCCAGGUCCAGAAUUUUGAUCUCUUACUCAAGCAUACCAGUUCUGUCUGUCAGACUGAUCUGCGUAAGCACAAAUGCCUUUGAUGUAUGUAUUAGGUGAAACGCUCUCCUCGAAUGAAUGGGUCAAGUCCAUGCUUGGCUGACUUACUCCAGCGGAGUGCUCAAUUAUUGUAACACGUAAACCUAAAAUAGUAAUUACCCCUCAACGUUAUUUUUUAGUCAUUUUACCUCCAAAACUAACGAUUAAAUUUAACGAAAUUUGUUAAUUAAAGUGAAAAGAUAUGUUUAACCCUUAAAAUUAUUAUCACUUUACCCCCAUAAAAUAUAAUCUCAUUAUCAAUUUACCCAAUAGAAUUAUUUUUUAGACAAUUUAUCCUACAAUUAAACCAAUUUAGUAAGUUAAAAACUUUAGAAAAAAAUACCCUCCUCUUUGCAUAAUAAAAAUAACAAAAAAUUUAGAGUGACUCUUCUUUUUUUUAGUAUCAAGAAAAAAGUUAAAGUAUUAUUUUUUUUCUUGGCAAUCUUAUUAAUAUUGAAAAAAAUAGAAAGAUGGAGAGGGGGAGGGGGAGGAGGAGAGGGAGAGGGGGAGAGAGAGCUCAAUUCUUUUUUUAAAAAUUACAAAUAAGAAAGAAUUAAAUACUUUUAUUAUUUUAAAAUUAUUUCACUUUUUUGUUUACCACCAAAUUCCAAUCCUAAUCUCGACAACUUUAAAGUAAUACAAUAAUGUUAAACUUUUCUUUUUUUUUUUUGCAAAAUCUAAUUUUUUGUCUCCUUCUUUUCUAUCUCUUUUUCUUUUCCUAGUAUUAAUAAAUAUGAAAAAAGAAAUUUGAUAAAACCCUUUUAUUUUUAUGUUUUUCGAUCUCUUAAAGUGAAAAAAAGGAAGAAUAGCCAUUCCAACUUUUUUAUUUUUAAUUAUAUAUAAAAAAGGGUAAAUAUAUUUAAAAAUUUUUGACCAUACUAGUUUGAUUAACAAUGAAGUAAAAUACAUAGUAACUAAUAUUAGGAACUAAAGUGAUUGUAUCACUAUAAUCUAAACGAAUAAAGUGAUAAUAACAAUGUAGUAAUGCUAUAAAAUAAAAGCGUAUUUUUGUCCAAUAUUUCUUAACAAAUCGAGUUGAAUUACUUAUGGGGGUAAAGUGACUAAAAAAUAACGUUAAGGGGUAAACUGAUAGUAAUAAUAUAUUUUAAGGGGUUAAAGUGAUAAUAGCCCAUUAAUUAUUGCAACUGAUAAACCUAAAAUUAUAAUUUGGAUAGCAAUGAAAAUAUAACAAAUAAAUAUUUAACAUAAAACUUGAGUGGAGUGCUCUAUUCACAAAGCUGGAACUCGAUUUGUUAGAGCUUAAAAAAUUUUGAAAAUAAUAAUAUAAUAAUUAAAUAUUUAAUUAUUGUAACAAAUAAACCUAACAUUGUAAUUUGGAUAAUAAUAAUAUAAUAAUUAAAUAUUUAAUUGAAUACUCAAUAGAAUUCGUCCAGCCUUCAAGUCUUCGUUAAUAGUACCCGAAUUUGAUUCGAAAACUUAAUUAGGUAACUUGAAUUUGAUUCAAACUCGAUCGAUAUUGUUCGAAUUCAAUAGAGCAAUUAAUCGAGCUCGAGUGAAGCUGCUCAAUUAAAUCUUACCCUUAUCCCCAGUGGACGAGGGCCUCACAAUUUGAGGCAAUAUCCAAUUCGGACAAAUCCGGUCAAGAUCAAAUUGUGAUAAUGAGAAAGCCACGAUUUAAUAUUUAGUGGGUCGACAACGCAGUAUCAAUUCGCACGGGGAGGGAAAAAUCAAAAUUGAGGACUAAUGAAAAGACCGCGUUUGUAGAACUCAUUGUCCUCUCUUUAGAGAUGGAGGGGGAAAAAAUCAACGAUAAAGACUGCUCAGAUUCUUCCAACGAAAUCCAAACAUAGGGAGAUAAAGUCUCAGACUCUUCAACUUUUUGGGAGUGAAAAUUUGCAGUCCUAACAAAUUCGAGAUUUAUUGAGGCUUUGCUUGUUGGUUCAUAAUUUAACAGAAAAUUUUUUUUUUUCUCAUAUCAUCAAAGUAUCAAGUAUGUUCUUGGGUUUAGCAGCUGUAGAUAUAUUUGAUUUUUCAACAAUUGCAAAAGAAUUGCCAGUGGUUGAACUGUUAUGAGUUCGCCCAGUGAAAACUUUUUGAUCGUGAUGUGAAUUGCUUUUAGAUACAAAACUUUGGAAGAAACUUGUUCAUUGCUUUAUUCCAUUUUGGUUAGCUUAUAAGUAGUUGUUGGGCAUUCACACUACUGGUUAUCAUUUAUGCACGCAACUGCUCUGCCCGCCAACAUUUCACGAUAGAGAAAUAAUCUGCAGUUCUGUAAGAAACACUGAAAUUGAUAUCUGAAACCGGAAUUUCAAUUUGCUAAAUGCAGUUAAGAGUUUUACUAGAUAUAUUCUCGAGUAUGAAAACCAGCUUAAAGCAAAACGAAAUCAAUUUUUCUAAACAUCUCAAACAAAAAUCUAGCAGAUUACUUUAAAGCCAACCAAAAUCUGCAUGAUUAGAAUUUCAGUUUGCUUUAAGAGGUUAGGAUUACAGUAGGUGUAAUCCAGAGGACCAACUUGAACAAAUUGAAUUCACCUUUCCAAAGAUCUCAGCAAUAAUUGAUAGUUGAGUGUCCAGAUUGAACAUCCAUUAGUUUGAAGUUGAAUUAAGAAACACAUCAUCUCACAAAUGAAUCGAGAGAAGAAUAAGUUACUGAAAUUUGACUAUCUUACAUGUUCGGGGAGUAAUACAACAGGAUGCACAAUCAUACUCUUAUCAUCUCGAAUAUGAACUACUAAUAAGCACCUUGAUGUCCCCAGUUGCUUCCCUGAUUCUUUUUGCAGACUCUUCUGCAGAUUGUCUGCACCAGUGCACUUCAAUCAAUUCCAGUGUGCCUAUGUCUGCAAAAUCAUUCGGGAUUUCCUCGAGGUCUUUGCAAUUUUGCAAGACAAGCCGUUCAAGUUUGGGAAGGUGAUCACAAGUAGCAUUCCAUCGACAAAUGUUCAGAUCGUCUAACUUCAAGAAUUUAAGUUCCUUGAACUGUUCUUCCUCCAUUUCCCAUAUCAGCCCCUCAAAGGCACCAAGACGUAACUUGAGGACUUCCAGGUUGGGUAGUCUCCCAAUUGUUGAGAUGUGGCUCCAUGGUAGGUGAAAGUUUGAAAGAGUCAAUUCCCUCAGAUUUGGUGGGAGAACGAAUUCACUUGUGAUGGCUCUCCCAAAGUAAAAUACAUUGAGCGACACCAAAUGAGCAAGAGAAUCCAGUUUUGGAAACUGUCCACAAUUCUUGGAAGAAUCCCGUGGGUGAAAGAAUAUGCAUUUCAGUUUACGAAGAUUUGGCAACCUCUUCACUAUGUUCUCUGUAUCUUCAGCACAAGAAAGAGAGAGACGGGAAAAGCUAACCAAAUUUCCCAACUCACAGCAGCCGCCAAACUCUUUAUCACCCAACUUGAAAACAACAUGCAUGUUCACAUGGAGAUGCCUCAACCUUGCCAUGCUCCACAUAUUGUCUGGUAAGACAACCUGGCCACGUAACCCCUUCACAACAAAAGUUUCCAAUUUUCGGAGAUUGGCUAUGGAUUGUGGAAUAGAACGCAUAUACCCACUAACCGCCAAAUACCUCAAAUGAACCAAUAGUCCUAUUUUAACAGGAAAGGUAAUACCAAUGUUGAUCAUUUCAAAAUCCAACGUGCGCAGAAGUUUGAAGUUGCGACAAAUGAAUGAGAUGUCGUAAGGACAUCUAGGCUCUGAAUCAGUUGAGGGAAAGAAUAUUAUAGAACGGGUGCCCAGCCCGGAAGGUACUGAUUCAAAAAAAUGAACUCGCUUCAAAAAUAUGCACAACCGAUAGGAUUCAUAUGUUACGCGAUCAGAAUAAUGGCCAAAAUCGAAUUCAAAACCAAAAUCUGAGCUGGGAAAAGAAGCAUAUGGCUCAUCAGACCUGGUUAUUAACUUGAAAAAGUUCUCUUCUUUGGCUUUUAAAUGACAAAAAUCACGUAACAGAUCAUGCAAGCGGCAAGUUUUCACCUCUCCAUUGGAUUUUUUUUUGGAGAUUUCCACCAGGCUUCUGCUAAUCAACUCCAUCAAGUAACCUUCAGCAAUACAUUCCAAGCUCUUCAACUCAGAGUCAUGGAUGAAUCCUUCAGCAAGCCAAAGCCGUAUCAACUUGCUAAUUGGAAUAUCCUUGUCUUCAAGGAAAACUCCCAAAUAAAGAAAGCACGGUUUUAGAUAUCUUGGUAAGUGUUUGUAACUCAAUUCUAAGAUUUCCAUGCACCGAGCUUUUGGAUCUUCCAUAACUUCAGCAAUCAAGCUUUUUGCAAUUUUGCCCCACGAUUCUGAGCUCUUUUCUAUCCUUUGGAGGAGACCAGAUAUUGCAACAACAGCAAGAGGCAAUCCUUUACACUUUUUGGCAAUUUCCUUACCAACUAGCGACAAUUCUUCAGGACAGCCUUCACCAUGGAAUACUUUCCCUACUAACAAGUUCCAACUUUCAUCUUCAGAAAGUAAGCGUAGAGAAUGAGGAUCACUAUCUGGUUCAAUUUGUAAGGCCACAUCACGAAGGCGACUCGUAAUCAAAAUUCUGGUUCCAUUAGCGUCCUCUGGGAGUGAAUUUCUUAACUCAUUCCAAACUCCAGCAUCCCACACGUCAUCCAUAACAAUGAGAAACCUGUUUCUUAGUAAGCACUGAUGCAAUUUUAAUUGGAGAUCUUCGUUAGUCAUUAGACGAAUUUCAUCCGUAAGCCCGAGAAUGCCACGUAAAAUCUCCAGCAACAGUUCUCUUUUCUCAUAUACUUGUGAAACAGUACACCAUGCACGACAAUGAAAGUGAUCCAUAACAUAUGGAUGGUUAAACACUUUCCAAGCCAGAGUUGUCUUGCCAAUACCAGGCAUUCCAAUAAUGGAAACAAUGCCACGCCGUAGGGAUCCUUUGAUGAGUUGAUCAAUCACAUAUUGUUCUUCAUCUAUGAGGUCGACCACCAUUUCAUUGAUUGCUGCCCGUGAUAUCAUGUUGGGUGGAACCUGGAUGAUGUGUUUGCUACUUAGGACUCUGGCAUCUGAGGUUGUCAACUGAAUACUAGAGGCUUGCUUAUUAACAAUCCUUAACUCCUCUAGCAGAUCAUAAACCAAAAAGAUGUGCUGCCAUUGAGCAUCACUCUCAAUUGAGUCAAUAACAUACUCAAUUUUAUAAGCUAUAUUGGCAGCACGAACACCAAGGACCUUCACUUCUGGAUUGCCAUCAAUAUCCGACUCCGAAACUUUCAUGAGAAAGGAACCCAAUGAGUCGAAAUGUACAUGAAUCUCUUUUAUGUAAUUCCUGACUUGUUCAAUUGAUGCAGGAUCAUAUUUCAGCAGCUCCUUUAGGUUUCUGACGAGGAAAUCCAUGAACCCUGGCAUGCAAGUCUUGGGAAUAUCAGAAAAUGGAAAUUGGGGACUUAGCUCUCUAAGCUCAGUCCUGAUAUGAUUCUGCUUGUCUAGCAGCUGUGAAGAUGGCGUGAUCAUAUUGAUGAUGGGUCCUGUCAUCCCUGCAUCAAAAGUUUCAGUUUGUGGGAAGAUCACGUCCAUGUCCUGUGUCUCCUUCUUUAGCUGGUUGCAGAGAAGUGUGAAAAGAUUAAGCCGCGCGAGUAGUGCAAUUUGAUCUUUUCGAUAAGCCAUGGAAUUUGCUGCCCUACUAUUCUCAAGUGAUAACUUCUUAAAUAAUGCUUCUGCUUUGAAAGCAACAAUGUUAAGAAGCAAUAGGAGAAUUGAGUUCCUCACCGUGGGUUCUGUUAUCUUCUUGGCCUCAAAUAACUGAUGGAGAGAUGCUACCUUGUGGUCCAUUUGUUGAAUGAGAGCCGCAGUCUUAUUCCCAUAUUCUGCCUCAUAUUCUGCCUUUCCAUGCGGAUGUUUUUCCAAACAUUUUAUCAAUUCUUUUGUCAUCCAAUAAACAUCAUCUUUAGCACGAUUGAGUAGAUCUUUAAUUUGGAAAGUGAUCCCUUGAAUGUUACGGUGAAGCAUCCCCUUGAGGAAAAGCUCCGUCUGGAGAAGACCAACAUUUAUUCGCAGCUCGGAAAGUCUAGGCUCAACAUUUUGCCGCCUCAGUUUGAGAGAUCCCGUCUCCAUGAGCACCGUAUGAAAUUCUGCAAAGAAAAUUGGCAUCGUCUGAUCGUCCUCCUUCUCCUCCAGUUUGGUGAAGACUAAAAGCUUUAACAGCUCAUGGAUCACUAGAUAAUAGUUGCCUCCAAGAUCUCCGACCCUCACUCUAGGGGCAACGUAAUUGCAAUAACGAAAGCAAAAAUCGGGCUUAACUCCAAUUUUAUGGAGAGAUACAAGGAAAUGGAGAUGGAACUCCAUGAAUCUGGGAUUAGUAGGAUCGAUCUCAUGUUGCAAAUCCACUAGAGGUUUCAUUAGCUUAAUCCUUUCUUCCUCUUUGAUUCGGUCGUUCGUUUUUCUGCAGUAAAUCUGGUACUUAAAAGCGUGGAUUGCAAUGCGUACCACCACAGAUGCAACACGAGUCACGAAAUCAUUGAUAAUAUUUACAUCAUCACCACUUGCUCCUGCUGCUGCUGCUGCUGGGAAGUCGAGAUCCCUGAAUACAUCUUCCAUGUAAUUCCGGAUCAAGCGUAGCUCUGCCACCAGGGCAUCGACUGGCUCGCCCCACCGCAUACUCGCCACAAUCCCGGCUAGAGUGGCUAAAAAUUUUAACCAAAAAGAAACAUCAGAUGGUGAUUGCAGUUGGCACGACGACCUCCCGGAUAAAACCAAAAGGUGUUCAACUGCUUCUCCGAUCUCUUCGAUCACAUUGCAGGCUUUCUUGUAAUAAUCUUGGAGAAUUUCGUCGUCCACCAGGGAGUGGGACAGCUUCAUCUUGUUGUUGUCGUUGUUGUCUGUAAGUAUCAGUUCCCGGUCAAUCUCCUGGGCUGCAGCUUCGAUCUUGAAUCCCAUAUUAAGCAGCACCCGCUCUGCAUGUUCAUCUCUCAUCAGCUUGUGAGUUGCUUCCCAAAUUAACCUCAAAAGCUUCCAAUCCGAGAUGCUUUCACGUACGAAUGCACCACCAAUCGGUAACUUAUGCAAGAAAAAAUCUAUGACAUCCCAGCCGGGAAUACCCAUCUCCAGCUCCAGAAUUUUGAUCUCUGACAGGUGCCGAACCUGUGCAAUAAUAAUAAAUAAAUCCUAACUACCACCUGAAACAGUCAGUAAUCAAUUCGAGUACUGGAGCAGGGACUCUAGGUGUGCAAUGGGUUACUUGAUUCACCCUGUUCCCGAAGAGUUUGCUUAAUCCGAUAUAGCUGAAUUAAUUAUUUAACUGGAUUCCCUAACUAGUAGACAGUGAUAAGCAGGGUCGUCUCCUCAGGGACUGGAGAGAUAUUUGUUUCUUUUCAAAUCAAGAUUAAUGGGGGGGUUUUGGUAUCAAAGGCCAACUAAACAAAAUAAAUGUAGAAAGUAAUUGAUUAAAAACAAUAAUUGGAGAAGCUCUAGCCAAGGGUACACUUUAGGAAUGGUUCACGCAACUGAUCAUCGAUUCACAGAUAAUUCCAACUUUUAUUAAUAGAUUGGUUAUAGCUGUCUCGCACGCGCUAAACAACCAACCCUUCCUUAAUUUCUCGAUAGCCAAGGUACGACCGUUAGCUAUUUCUCUAACCCAAAAAUAACCCUAGGUACGACCGUAGGAUUUAAUUUCUAGAUUGCAGUAAUAAUUAGAAAGGCCCAAUCCUAACCAAUAAACACGCUACGAGGGUUUAUUUAAGCUAGAUCGUAUGCUCCCCUGACAUAAACCCAAUUAUGCCAGUUGCUACAAAGACAGAGAUAGCGAACAAUUACGGAUUCAGUUACCUCUAUUUAGCAAAAUAGCCUAUAUGAAUAAUUAAAUAUUGCGCAUCUAUUCAAUCACUCACAUGAGCUAUAGCGGUUAAAAGCAGGAAACAUAUGAAUACCAAUAAAUGCAGGAAAUAAUUAAAAGCGGUUUAGAUCUCACAGUAGUGGUUAACCCAUUCGUCAGUUGUCCCCUUGACUAGAUGGAGGAUUUAGCCACGCCGCAUAAUUAAAUCACCACACGAAUUAAUAGAUUGCAAAAGCAUUGCGUUUCCUAUUAAGAAGCAGGGAAUAAAAGGUGUUUUUCCCGUUGGGGAAUAUUGUCGAACACCUGGCGUGUGUCAGAGGCCAGUCGGGAGAAAAGAGAAAAGAGACUAAAAACUAGGCUAAAAACUAAACUAAAAACUAGCGAUCUUUUUUUUUCUUGUACGUUCCCUCCUUAAGAGACAAAAGAAAGAUAGACUAAAGCUAUCUAGGUGGUCCCCACACAUGUGGACAAAACCUCCUCAAGUACUUCCUCUUCCAAGUCUACUUCCGUAGCUCUCUUUGGAGAGCCCACAUGACUUAUGGCUUUGCGGUCCCCACCAAUCCAAAGGCCCAAGGAUUGAAGUCCUUAGAAGUCUCCAUAUUCUUCAUAAAGUCCCUCUUUUUUUGGUAGUUUGCUGCUUCCUCCUGAAAUUAAGUCCAUAUACCAAAUAUGAGUAGAUAUCAGCAAUUAACACAAUAUUUAUCAGGGAUAAAAGGGGAAAUUAAUAAUAAAAUGACUAACAAAUUACACCCUAUCAAUUCCCCCCACACCUGAAUCAUGCUUGCCCUCAAGCAUAAUUAACUCAGAAGUACGAUCAAGAUGCUAAACAAAUCACAGCAGUUCAUACCAAGAAUGGCAUUUCAAGCUCCCCAAUAACCUUAUCAAAAUCAGAAUAUACCAAAUCAACAAUUCUCGCUGUUUAAAGUGCACUCAUUCGCUCCAAAGUGUAUAUGAAAUGUAUAUAAGAUGGCUCUCAAAACAACACAGUAGAAUGACACCACCAUACGCUUUCUCAUAUAUCAUAUCUCCACCACUUACUCAUGAAUUUAAAUGCAGCAAUCAAGGGACUUGCAAGGUUGUAGUGGGGCUAGGGUGAGAAGGUAGGAUUGAAAGGGGUCAAAAGGGUGCAUAAGUGUAAAGAAAGUGCCCAAAAAUUCAUUACAUAGAUUCUUGCACCUUUGAAAUUUAAAGGCAUCUCAACCAUCACACAAGUGAAGUGAAUUAGCACUUGCCACAACCUUCGCCUUUUCUCCUUUUUCAUUCAUCUACUUCCCCUCUUUUCCCUUUUUUUUUUUUUUUUUUUUUUAGACUGCUUUUCUCUUCAAUACUCCCAACCAGCACCCUAAAGGUCAACUUUACUUGCUGGUUUCCUGCACUCUUUUUUUUCCUUCUUUUCACAUCCCCUUUUUUUCUGUUUUCUUUUUUUUUUCUUGUUUUAUUCACAGAUAGGUACGAUGCCCCUCUAGAAAUACUCCAAAAUUCUGUAUAAUGAAAUCAAAGCACUUCUUCACACAAGGUUCGAAAAGAAAGUCUAAAGAGAGGUUUUUCGGCUAGGAGCUGGGGUUUCUAGCAAAGAAUAGGAUGUAAAGCUCAACUUGGCUCCCUAAUGGUAAUAUAAUCCAAGGGUGAGUUUUGAGAAAGUCCAAAACGGCUCAUUCCUAGGUGCCCUAUCAUUUCAGUGCAUUGAAUUCAUUUAAAUGUGAUUUUGACAUGCACAACCGAGCAAGUUCUAGAAUGACAAACCAUGUGCACUAACCACUCAACAAAACGAAAAAUUAGGCCCAAAAAUCGCACCAGUGAUCAAAUGGAUGUCCAGUUCGGCAUAUUAAUCAAUCAAUUCAGUAUCAAGGAAAGUAGAACACCCCAUGGCAUGAACUUACUAUGUACGCUUAUAUCCCAAUUCGCAUUCAUCAUCGUUCAAAGAAAAGACAACUAUUAAGGCAAGGAAAAACUCAAGCAGACAACUAAAAACACCUCUAAAGCAUAGUUAACCCUCCCCCACACCUAAACCUGACAUUGCCCUCAAUGUAAGCAAAGUAAAACCAAAUUAGAGGUAUUGGGGCAACAACACUUCCCUUAAAACGGAGGAGGGCAGAAAUGAAUCACGGCUGCGGAGGAAAAGGCGGGCGGAAGCCCACGUGAUGGAGAUACUGCGCUAUAUUCUGGGCGACCCCGCCCAUUUGCCGCUCCAUCCGAUCCAUACGAGUGUCCAUGUGCUGCAUCUGGAACCGGAGGGCUGCAAGCUGGCUAUCGACGGAGGAAGAUGGUGGAGGUGCCGAAGAAGAUGGCCCGGGGGCAUCCGUGGACGGACCACCAGCCCCAGUCGCAGUGGAUUUGGAAGCUUUGCGCCUCGGGGGAACGGAGAUUGGCCCCGGGGGAGCAAACUGGAAAGCGCCAUUCACCUGUCUCACAAGACCCAUUUUCUCCAAACAAACCAAAUCAAGGGGCACCAUAAUACAAGCACGAUGCAAGUUAUGAUUAUUCAAGUCCAAAACCCCAAGGUUUACAGCUAACUGAGUAAUAAAGGAGCCUAAGAUUAAUGGCUUAUUUUUCUUACUUAGCACAGUUCGGAGGUGGAGGGCGAACCAGCUACCCAAAUUGACCCUAGUCCGAGUGACCAUGCACCAUACGAAAAAGAACUCGGGCUUAGUCAGAGUACCCGAGCUAUCCUUCCUACCUGAGAAACUAUAGGCCAUGAAUCUAUGUAACUAGCGGUAGGCGGCACUCUUAAGAUAAGAAGCCUUAGACUGACUGGGGUCAUAGCAUUGCUGGUCAACUGACAAGCCACUCCAAUAAUCAAGGUAAUGAGAGAAAAAUGGCUCUAUAUACUCGCACGCACUGUGCAUAUACUCCUCACUCUGGGAGUAAGGAAUAUCAAUAAACCCAAGAGCCAAAUUAAACUCAGUGAUAGAUUGGUUGAACUCUCUACCCAUUAAUCGAUACCUCACAACCCCAGGAGUGGUAACGGAGAAUUGCUCAGGAAUAUUAAAUUCAAAGGUAGCAUAGAAUUCCCACGUGAGUUCAGUAAAAGCAGGUUGAUUUAUAGAAGCAUAGUGGGCCCAACCUACAUUAGUCAAGUGCUGUGCGACCUCAUCCCUCAGGUUUAGCAAAUCUAGUGUAGGGCCAUGGAGGUAUUUACAAGGAAUUAUCUUCCUUGUGCAAGCCGAAGCAUACCGCUCCUUGUCGGCAGCCCGGGUGAAGGUUAAAUGACCGCCAAAAUGGGCCGGAGAGGAGAUAUGAAUCUCCCUAUUCCGUCCAAGGCGGGUACGAGGCCCUCCAGGCCCAGUCGAUGGGGCAGGUCCCUCUAAGGGGACCGUAGGCUGAGGAGAUGAAGUGGAAGGCUUAUUCUUACUUUUGGUUUUCGGUUUAGUCAUUGGGGAUUGGAAAAAAAAAGCAAAGUCAAGGUGAAGUCGGAUAAAACGGAGCGGUAGUUAAUGAACAAAGCAAAGGGUCCCCAAACACAGCUCCAAACACCAACAAGUGAACAAAUAGCAACCAAAUAGCCCAAAAAUCAAUUAAGUAGAUAAACAAUAAAAAUUGCACCCAAAAACUAAUUAAAUACUGAAACUACGAAAACUCCCCAAAUUCUACCAAACAACCUCAAAAAUUCCUUAAUUAAACAACCGCAGCAAAAUUUCCCCAAAAACUAUUAAAUAAACAACCAGAGUGAAAACUUUCCGCCAAUAUCUCUGAUUGAGCACCAAACUUCACAAAUAGACCACAAUCAACCACAGAUAUAUCACAGCACCCCAAAUAACACACAGUUUCUGUUCUCAGCUAACAAAUCAAAAAUCUGGCCUCAGCUAAGAAAUUAAAAUCUGACAUCAGCUAAGAAAGCUAGUAAUCUGGCCUCAGCUACUUAGGGACAGAAAAUUAAAGAAAGAAUUUACCAGGAGGGAUAGCCGGUAGUUGCUAAGGUUGGAAACGAAACAAAAAAUCUUUCCGAUCUUGGGCUGAAAACCUUCGAUGCGGAUUUGUCGGUUGCACCCCUGGUCGCGCGCGCGGACUGCAGCCUGCGACUGGCGGUGCUGGUUGCGGCUGACACUGAAGAGGCUGCGCGCGAUGGUCGCCCGAGGCGGAUGCUGUGCGGAGUGGCGCACGACUGGUGCUGAGGUUGCAGAGGAAGCUGCGCGCAGAGGAGCUGCUGGGCUGCGCGCGCGGUCUGGGCUCACGGCCUGCGGUCCGCGACUGCGGCUGGAUCUCGCGCUGGGGCUGCAGCGCUGGGCGGCGCCGCGCGCAGGGAGCGCGCUUGGGCUGCUGGGGUGGAUCUGGUGCGACGCGCAGGGAGCGUCGCGCGGAGGAGGUGCAGCGCAGAGAGGCUCGCGGCUGGGCUGGGCGGCGCGCAGAGGAGGCUGCGCGAUCCGGCGGCGUGCGGUUGGGCUAGGCGGCGCAGAGGAGCGGCGGCGGACCAAGCAAGAAGAGGAAAAGAAGAAAAGAAAGAAAAGGAAGAAGAAAGAAAGAAAAAAGAAGAAAGGAAGAAGGGCUACGGAGGUUUUUUUUUUUUUUUUUUUUAAUAAUAAUAAGGGCAAUUUCGUCUUUUUCUCCCUUUUUUUUUUUUUUUUUUUACGUGGCCACCUAGCGUGGGCACGUUCAACUGCCCUAGAGUCCGCAGAACCUGAUCGAAAAUUUCCUCCGUCAGGCGCGACCACCUGGCGUGGGCACGUCUAACUGCUAUGUAGUCCGCAGAUCCUGAACGAAAAUUUCCUCCGUCAGGCGUGACCAUCUGGCGUGGGCACGUCUAACUACUAUGGAGUUCGCAGAACCUGAGCGAAAAUUUCCCCCCGUCAGGCGUGACCAUCUGGCGUGGGCACGUCUAACCAUUAAUCUCCUGCCACAAAACAUCAAACCAUCAAUUGACACUAACACUUAACUAAAAUUUCAAAAUUGCAUGAAAACUAAAACAAAUAGUCUUGGGUUGCCUCCCAAGUAGCGCCUUUCUUUACUGUCUUUGGCUAGACAUGGCCAAAACCCCUAAGCAUGAUGAAGUGGAACUUGGAGGUGUUCAACUUCUACUUCUUCAACAUAGAAACCCUCAUAAUAAGGCUUGAGACGAUGGCCAUUCACCACGAACUUUUUCUCGGUUUUUAAACUUUGGAUCUCCACUGCACCAUAAUGAAACACAUUAGAAACGACAAAUGGACCAAUCCAACGAGAACGCAACUUACCGGGAAAAAGUUUAAGCCUUGAGUGGUACAAGAGAACUUUUUGCCCCACUACAAAAGUUUUCCUAGAAACCUGCUGAUCGUGAAAGAUUUUACUCUUCUCCUUAUAGAUCGUGGCAUUUUCAUACGCCUCAUUUCGUAUUUCUUCUAACUCUUGUAGCUGCAAUUUCCUUUGGGCCCCUGCUUCAUCUAAUCCCAUAUUACACUGCUUCACCGCCCAAAACGCCUUGUGUUCGAACUCCACGGGGAGAUGGCAAGCCUUACCGAAAACAAGUCUAUAAGGAGACAUCCCAAUUGGCGUCUUAUACGCAGUUCUAUAAGCCCAUAGUGCGUCUUCUAGCUUCAAGCUCCAAUCCUUCCUGUCCGGACGCACCAUCUUCUCCAAAAUCGACUUGAUUUCCCUGUUUGACACUUCGGCCUGACCGUUCGCCUGCGGGUGAUACGGUGUGGAUACCUUGUGCAGUACACCGUAUUUUCGAAACAAGGCAGUGAUAGUCUUGUUGCAGAAAUGUGUCCCUCUAUCACUAACCACAGCUCUUGGCAUUCCAAAACGGGUAAAGAUAUUAGAUUUUAAGAAAUCUGCAACCACUCUAGAAUCAUUAGUACGGGUGACUUUUGCCUCCACCCAUUUAGACACAUAAUCCACAGCAAGUAAAAUGUAUAGGAAACCAAAAGAUGAGGGAAAAGGACCCAUAAAAUCUAUCCCCCAAACAUCAAAAAUUUCAACAAACAACACGGGGGUUUGAAGCAUUUGGUCCUUACGAAAAAUAUUCCCCACCCUUUGACACCUAUCACAGGAUUUACAGAAUAAAUAAGCAUCUUUGAACAGAGUAGGCCAGUAAAAACCACUCUCCAACACCUUGCGAGCUGUUCGUUUGGGCCCAAAAUGCCCUCCACAUGCAAACGAAUGACAAAAAUUCAAAAUGGAGUGAAAUUCACCUGCACUUACACACCUUCUGAGCACUUGAUCCGAACACUGUCUCCAAAGGUACGGGUCGUCCCAAAUGUAAUACUUGGCGUCGCUCUUUAACUUGUCCCUCUUAGCCUUUGGCCACCCUGCAGGCAAUUGAUUAGUCACUAGAAAGUUUACCAAAUCGGCAUACCAGGGAGUAGACGAGUCAAUGGCCAAUAGUUGCUCCUCUGGGAACGCCUCCCUCAAUGGCGGCUCCUCCUUAUGAGCAAGUAAGCGGCUCAAGUGAUCAGCAACUAAAUUUUCUGCCCCACUCUUAUCCUUAAUUUCCAAGUUGAACUCCUGAAGGAGCAGGAUCCAUCUGAUGAGCCUUGGUUUAGCAUCCUUCUUCGUCAUCAAGUACCUCAAGGCUGCAUGAUCAGAGAAAACUGUUAUUUUUGCACCUAACAAAUAAGGUCUAAAUUUUUCUAAUGCAAAAACCACAGCUAGCAAUUCUUUUUCUGUUGUAGAGUAGUUGAGUUGGGCUCCGUUUAACGCCUUCGAUGCAUAGUAAAUUGCAUGAGCAGCUCUGCCAAUCCGUUGCCCCAGCACCGCUCCCACUGCAUAAUCACUCGCGUCACACAUUAUCUCAAAUGGGAGGUUCCAGUCUGGAGGUUGGAUAACCGGUGGUGACGUCAAUGAGUCCCUCAACCUGUCAAAUGCCACUUUGCACUCUUCGGUGAAGUCGAAUGCCACGUCCUUCUGCAAUAGCUUGAACAGGGCCGCUCCAAUUUUCGAGAAAUCUUUGAUAAAUCUCCUGUAGAAACCUGCAUGACCCAAAAAGGAGCGCACCUCCCGCACACUUGCGGGGUAAGGCAGAGCAGAAAUAAUAUCGACUUUUGCCUUGUCCACUUCUAUACCCCUGGCCGAAACUACAUGCCCUAAAACAAUACCAUGAUCCACCAUGAAAUGACAUUUUUCCCAAUUCAAAACCAAAUUUGUCUCAAUGCAUCUUUUCAAAAUUAAACCUAAAUUAUCAAGGCAUUCAUCAAAGCUAUCCCCAUACACACUAAAAUCAUCCAUAAACACCUCAAUAAUCUUUUCUACAUACUCAGAGAAUAUACUUACCAUACACCUCUGAAAAGUUGCUGGGGCGUUGCAGAGGCCGAAAGGCAUCCUCCGAUAUGCAAAUGUACCGAAGGGGCAGGUGAAGGUAGUUUUCUCCUGAUCCUCUGGUGCUAUUGCAAUCUGAAAAUAACCAGAGAAACCAUCAAGAAAACAAUAAUAGACACGGCCAGCUAACCUUUCUAUCAUCUGAUCAAUAAAAGGCAGAGGGAAGUGGUCCUUCUUCGUCACAGCAUUCAGACGCCGAUAGUCAAUGCACUGGCGCCAUCCUGUGGGUUUCCUCACCGGGAUCAUCUCACCCUCUAGGUUCUCUUCAACUGUUACCCCCGCCUUUUUCGGGACUACUUGCACCGGGCUCACCCAGGGGCUAUCUGAGAUGGCGAAGAUGAUCCCCACUUCUAGGAGUUUUAGUAUCUCCUUCUUGACCACUUCCAUCAUUAGUGGGUUCAAUCUCCGUUGCCCUUGUCUAACUGGCUUCGCAUCAUCCUCAAGCCGGAUCCGAUGCAUGCAUAAGGAGGGGCUAAUUCCCUUGAUAUCUGCUACACUCCACCCAAUUGCCUCCUUAUGAUCUCGGAGAAGACGAAGUAGUCUAUCUUCUUGCCCUGGGGACAGGUGUGCAGAUAUGAUGACUGGCAGUGUCUCAUUGUCCCCGAGAAAAGCAUACUUCAAAUGCUUUGGGAGAGGUUUGAGCUCCAACUCAGGCGCCUGCACAAUAGAAGGCAACAAUUUUGCCUGAGUUUUUGGUACAAAAACAGAAGUAAGCUCAUACCUUGGGGAAAUUGGUGGGAGCGAAUGUAGUGCUCCAACAGCGUGGUAUAGCUCAUCAUUUAUUUCUACAUCAAGAGUUGCUCCCAACUCAAGAUGUUUGGCCAAUGCCACUGCCAGUGCAUCAACCCCAUCCAAUUCAAAUAUUUCCUGUACAAGGGGCUCAACAACACUUAAAGCAUAAAUAGAGUUAGUCUCAUCUGGGUACUUCAUCGCCUCAAAAAUAUUAAAAUUUACAAUUUCCCCAUCAAACUCCAUCGACAAGGUACCCUCAUUAACAUCUAUUUUCGUCCUAGCAGUGCUUCAAAAUGGCCUACCUAACAGAAUAGGAGACGGAUUUAGUGCCCUUUCAUCCCCCAUGUCUAGGACAUAGAAAUCUGCAGGAAAAACUAACUCAUUGACCUGUACCAAAACAUCUUCAACUAACCCUUCCGGGUAAGCAUUGGUACGGUCUGCAAGUUGAAUUAUGAUGCCUGUGCCUUUUAACGGGCCAAGAUUUAGAGAUGCAUAAAUUGUCUUAGGCAUAACAUUAAUUGACGCCCCCAAAUCCAACAUUGCUUUCCUAAUUGGAGUACCUCCUAUCUUGCAGGGAAUGGUAAACAUACCUGGGUCUCCACAUUUUGGUGGGAGCUUCCUCUGGAGUAUAGCUGACACGUUUUCUCCCACCGCCACUCGUUCAUCUCCCCUUAGCUUCCUCUUGUGGGUGCACAGGUCCUUCAGAAAUUUGGCAUAUUUCGGUAUUUGCUUGAUUGCAUCCAGUAGGGGGAUGUUAAUCUCUACUUUCCUGAAUACAUCCAAAAGUUCCUUUUCCUUCUCUACUUUCCUUGUCUUUUCCAACCUGCAAGGAAAAGGGGGUAAGUUAGAGCUAAUAGUGAGUGGAGAGGUGGGGGUUACCUUAGGAUCUUCACGAAUACGUCCUUCCUCCUCAAUUUCCUUUUCUAUCUCCUCCUCGCUUUUGCUUUUUGGAUUCUUCACUUUAGGUCCUUCCAGCUCCUUGCCACUCCUCAGCGUCAUGGCACUUACAUUCCUGGGAUUUAUCUCGGGUUGCGAUGGCAGUUUCCCAUAAACGUGAGAUUCCAAGCGGUUGAUGGCAGUUGCCAGUUGACUUAUUCGAACAUCUUGGUCCUUCUUGUCAGCCUUGGUGUCCUGCUGGAGCUGCUCGGUUUUCGCGGCCAAGGAUCUGAUCUCCUGUUGAAGCUGUGUAGUAGUUGCGACCAGGUUGUUAGUAGUCGUGGCCAGGUUGUUAGUAGUCGUGGCCAGGUUCUUGACUAGGUCCUCCAAGGAGCUUCCUGUAUUGGAGGAUGAGGUUUGAGGUUUUGGUUGCCAAGGCUGGUAGAAUCCUGGUGGACGAUUCGGGAAUGAACCUUGUUGCCUGUUCCCAUAACUGAGAUUAGGAUGGUCUCUCCAACCGGGGUUGUAUGUGUUGGAAUACGGGUCAUACUCCCCGGCAACGGCGCCAAAAAUUGACAGGUGCCGAACCUGUGCAAUAAUAAUAAAUAAAUCCUAACUACCACCUGAAACAGUCAGUAAUCAAUUCGAGUACUGGAGCAGGGACUCUAGGUGUGCAAUGGGUUACUUGAUUCACCCUGUUCCCGAAGAGUUUGCUUAAUCCGAUAUAGCUGAAUUAAUUAUUUAACUGGAUUCCCUAACUAGUAGACAGUGAUAAGCAGGGUCGUCUCCUCAGGGACUGGAGAGAUAUUUGUUUCUUUUCAAAUCAAGAUUAAUGGGGGGGUUUUGGUAUCAAAGGCCAACUAAACAAAAUAAAUGUAGAAAGUAAUUGAUUAAAAACAAUAAUUGGAGAAGCUCUAGCCAAGGGUACACUUUAGGAAUGGUUCACGCAACUGAUCAUCGAUUCACAGAUAAUUCCAACUUUUAUUAAUAGAUUGGUUAUAGCUGUCUCGCACGCGCUAAACAACCAACCCUUCCUUAAUUUCUCGAUAGCCAAGGUACGACCGUUAGCUAUUUCUCUAACCCAAAAAUAACCCUAGGUACGACCGUAGGAUUUAAUUUCUAGAUUGCAGUAAUAAUUAGAAAGGCCCAAUCCUAACCAAUAAACACGCUACGAGGGUUUAUUUAAGCUAGAUCGUAUGCUCCCCUGACAUAAACCCAAUUAUGCCAGUUGCUACAAAGACAGAGAUAGCGAACAAUUACGGAUUCAGUUACCUCUAUUUAGCAAAAUAGCCUAUAUGAAUAAUUAAAUAUUGCGCAUCUAUUCAAUCACUCACAUGAGCUAUAGCGGUUAAAAGCAGGAAACAUAUGAAUACCAAUAAAUGCAGGAAAUAAUUAAAAGCGGUUUAGAUCUCACAGUAGUGGUGAACCCAUUCGUCAGUUGUCCCCUUGACUAGAUGGAGGAUUUAGCCACGCCACAUAAUUAAAUCACCACACGAAUUAAUAGAUUGCAAAAGCAUUGCGUUUCCUAUUAAGAAGCAGGGAAUAAAAGGUGUUUUUCCCGUUGGGGAAUAUUGUCGAACACCUGGCGUGUGUCAGAGGCCAGUCGGGAGAAAAGAGAAAAGAGACUAAAAACUAGGCUAAAAACUAAACUAAAAACUAGCGAUCCUUUUUUUUCUUGUACGUUCCCUCCUUAAGAGAUAAAAGAAAGAUAGACUAAAGCUAUCUAGGUGGUCCCCACACAUGUGGACAAAACCUCCUCAAGUACUUCCUCUUCCAAGUCUACUUCCGUAGCUCUCUUUGGAGAGCCCACAUGACUUAUGGCUUUGCGGUCCCCACCAAUCCAAAGGCCCAAGGAUUGAAGUCCUUAGAAGUCUCCAUAUUCUUCAUAAAGUCCCUCUUUUUUUGGUAGUUUGCUGCUUCCUCCUGAAAUUAAGUCCAUAUACCAAAUAUGAGUAGAUAUCAGCAAUUAACACAAUAUUUAUCAGGGAUAAAAGGGGAAAUUAAUAAUAAAAUGACUAACAAAUUACACCCUAUCAAUCUCUUACUUCAGCAAGCAUACCAAGAUCUGUCUAUCAGACUGGUCUGUCUGUGUAAACGAGAAAUUCUUCUAAUGGAGUAGCAUCUAUGCAAGAGACACCCCGAGAGGCACUUUCCAUUUCAAACAAUUUCACGGCCAAGAUUAGAUUGCAGUAAUGGCCGCGACAUGGUUUUUAGUUGGGGCCCACAAAGCGGUGCCGUUCCGUGUCGGACAAAGAAAAGUGAAAAUUAAGGACUAAUAACAUGCCCGCAUCUGGAGGACACAUCGUUGUGAGAGGAAAAAUUUAACAGGUUGGGAUUUUGGAUCCUUCCGCUUACAGUAUUAAAAAAAAAACUCUAUAAAAUUUUUAAUGAAACCCAACAUAGAGAAAUAAGGUCCCAACUUCUUCAAAAUUUUGGAAAGUGAAAAUAUUUGCGGUCCUACCAAUUCUAGAUUUAUUGAAGUUUUGCUCGUUAGUUUUGUUUCUUUUUUUUUAUUAUUUUUUUAAUGUAACUAGGAGACUCGAACCGAAAACCUUUCCCUCAGACUCUCUCAUCUGGAACCAUCCAAUCCAAUUCUCCUCCUCCGAACAACUGUUGUGCAUGUUGGUUGAUAAUUUGAAAAAAAAAAAAAAAAGAUUUCCUCAUAUCAUGAAAGUAUCAAGUAUGUCCUCGGAUUUUUAGAAUAUUCAUAGAUAUUGGAAACUUUUUUGUCUUUGUUUGUUGUAAUUACAAGGGGAUACAAAAGGCAUUUGCUUGUUUCCAUACUUGUGAAGAAAUUCUCAAUAUCUAACGACCACUGUGAGAAGAAAAUUAGAAAAAAAAUCCUGACUCUCUAAUUAUCCAAAUUGAAUGGUAGAUUAGGGCUAUUAUAAUUUCUUAAUUGGCAAAUAAAACUUUUGAUUUGAAUUAGUCUUGUUGAAGAACAAUAUAGAAAUCUUCAUGGCAGUGUUGUGUGUAAGAGUAUGUAAAAACACUGUAAGUAUAUUUGAUUUUUGAAUAAUUGCAAAACAAUGGAUGGCUGAGUUGUUAUGAGUUAGCCGAUUGAAAACAUUUUGAUCAAAUUAGUUGAUGCUGUUUUUACACCCAAGUGUUAAAGGCAUUAAAACCAAUUUGCAGAUAUUUACACCAGUAGUUAUUAAUUUAACACUUUUAAGUCCUGCCCAAUCCUACUACCUUACAACCAUUUGUUGGACAUUGAGCCUUUUUUUUUUUUUUUUUGGGACAUUGGUUACCAUACGGGCCUUGUGCAUAUCCUAACAAGCUUAUAAAUAUCAUUCAUGAUGCUGAUCCUUGACUUUGUCCCCAUAGGCAAGAGUCAGGUGGAAUUCCAUGUAGGUUUUGAUAAUACAAGAUUAACGAGGGUGAUAAUUGUUUUUGCAAUACAGGGGAUGAACGGCAUUGGGAAGCAGACAAUGGAUAUUCAAUGAACUUUUUUUUAUUUGAAUGAUGUAAAUUGUGAAACAUAAGACACCCAUUUGGUGUAAACCAGUUGUGCAGAUCCAACAACAUUUGGUAUAAACUCGUAUAAUUUCAGUGAGAUUAUGAUUUUUACACAAAUCUAGUUGUAUAAAUCACAAGCUCAAGUUUUACACAAAGUUGUAUGAAUUUAUACGAAAUGCAAUAAUAAUUACACAACUAAUUUGAAUUGGAUAACAACUCAAUUUGUAAAGCCCCGAAUCCUAUUUACCAGUACAAGGAUAUGGUUCUAUUGGUUAACGUUAAAUUGUAAGUUGUUGACAUUCAAAAGAUGAACUAGGUGGUGGCACUAGAGCAAUCUAGAUGAUGUAUAUUAGAUGAAUUUUUUUGUUACACCUUGCAAGUUUAAAACCCAAAAGAUGUGCAAUCUGAACUAAAUUGUCUCGAAGAGAAGAUUGGCAAACUAAACCUACUAGAAAAAAAAAAGAAGGAAUUAUUCUAAUGGAUAUAAAAUAGAUACUCGUUAAUACAGUUAAAUUGCAUUCAAUCUACCAUAUCAAUGUAUAUAUUAACAAUUAUUAUCUUCUCUUAGAGUUUGACACUUUCCCUGAUUAACAUUACUUUAACUAUUAUUAUCCUCCCUUAUAGUUAUAUACUUUUCCUAAUUAACUUUACUUUUCUAAAAAUUUAACGCCUAAAAUACAUAUUAAUUAGUGCCUUGUUAGACUGACUCAAAAAGAAAUAUUACGGCCAAGCAAGAGGACCAAACUUGGAGUACAGAAGUAUGAUUUAAUACCAAAAUGGACAAAAAAUUAACUGGAUCACAACUAAACCACCUAAAAAAAGUGUUUUCGUUUUUGUAACUCCUCCAUUAUCUGUAGAGUGACUAGGGAAAAGUAUCAUAAAACGGGUGCUAGGUAGGCUUCGAAUCCUCUGUCUCCAAAGUAAUCUCUGUCCCCGAAGUAGGUAUCUAUACAAUAAUUAACGGAGAAAAGUGGCAGUUGUGGUAAACAUUUUGCAUCAUUUUUGAAACUUUCAAUUUUGCCUUUGAAAAUUAAUUUUUACUCUAACCACCUAAUCACAUUUGCUAAUAUAAUCUCUCAUAACUCUGGUUCAUAACAGUAAAUUAUUUUUUUUUUUAGUAUAACUGGGAGAUCUCAAAACGUUCCAUUUUAUCAUCAAAUUGUUUGAAAACCUUGAUAUUUUUCAGCCAGUCAUAUGUCCUCAACUAUUAAAAGAGAUAUCAUCUUACAGACGAAUCAGUAAAGAAUGAGUUUCUGAAACGUUAUUGUCUUGACAAGUUCAUGGCAGAGUUCAACAUAAUGCACAAUCAAACUGAUGAUCUCAUAUAUGAACUACUAAUAAGGACUUUGGUAUCCCCAGUUGCUUCAGCAAUUCUUUAUGCAGACUCUUCUACAGUUUGUCUGCACCAGUGCGCUUCAAUCACUUCCAGUGUACCUAUGUCUGCAAAAUCAUAGGGAAUUUCCUCGAGGUCUUUGCAACUUUGCAAGACAAGCCGUUCAAGUUUGGGAAGGUGAUCACAAGUCGCAUUCCACUGAGAAACGUUCAGAUUGUCUAAUUUCAAGAAUUUGAUUUCCUUGAACUGUUCUUCCUCCAUGUCCCAUGUCAGCCCUUCAAAGGCACCGAGAAGCAAUUUGAGAACUCCCAGGUUGGGCAGUCUCCCAAUAGUUGAGAUAUGACUCUGACAGGGUGUCGAAGCCUGUGCAAUAAUAAAACCUGCUCAAACUAAAAGUAAUUUCUGUAGAUAGUGGUGAGCAGGGUCGAAUCCACAGGAACUGGAAGUAAUUGUUCCUUUUCAAAUUCACAGUGACAAGGGAGUGUUUUUAUUUCAGGAGUGACAAUUUAAGCAAUUCAACUAAAAGUAAAAUAAUAAAAAUAAAAUAGCCAACUAGAAAUUAAAUAACAAUUUACUAAAAUCAAAUGAGUGAUAAUUAAGGGUCUAGCCAAGAAAUAACUUCAGCAAUGGUGCACCUAAUUGAUCAUUGAAACAAAGGCAAUCCCAAUUAUUUGCUAAUAAAUAGGUUAUAACUGCCAAACAAGCGAUGGCAGUCAACCCCUCCUUACUGUGUCGGUGAUCAAGGUACGCCCGUUAAUCACUUCUCUAAUUGAAAAACAAUCCUAGGUACGCCCAUAGAAUUUAAUUCCCCAAUUGCCUUACGUAUUAGAGGAGCUCUAUUCUAACCAAAAACGCACUACCAGAGUUAUUUUAGAUUAGCCCGCAUAUCCCCCUGAUACAAACCCAAUCAUGCCAGUUGUCACUAUUUUGUGACAAUUAAACAAUUACGGAUUUAACGUCCCAAUUGACAAUAGAUUAUCAAAUUAACUAAUUAUCCGGAUCCAAGACAAUCAAUCAAUUAAACAAUCAUAAGCACUGUAACCAGGGAAUAUGCGAAUACCAAUAAAUAAAAAGAAAAGAUAAAAUUGAAUCGAUCUCACAAUUUUAGGUGACUCAGAGCCUUCGUUGCUCCUUGACUAGAAAAAGGGAUUUAAGUCAUCCCUGACACAAGGGACCCACGCACAAAUUCAGAAAUAAUUGCGGCCAUGGUCCCCGAUUUUGAGAGCUCGGUUCGAAUCAUGAAAUGAAAAGCUAACUACAAAAGUGAUUGUCCCUACAAAAGCUAAACUACAAAAGCUAAAUUCAUUGCCCCUGACAUCCGCGCAGGGAGCCACUACUCAAAGACGCAAAAACGGAAAAGUCAAACGGAAAGCUAAGCUAAAGGUCCUCAUUACUCAGAAGGAAAACUACUACAGAAAAGCCAAAAAACUAGUGCUAGUCCUCUCUUCGAUGUGCGGCGGCUCCCCCAGGGGGAAGAAGACGCAGAGGAAGAAGAAGCACCCCUUUUUUCCUGCACAAUUUUCCUAUAUAAAGUAGUGCUCCUUGCGGCGGCUCCUGUGCGGAAAAAUGAAGAUUUCGGCCCAAUUUGCCCAACAAGGGCUCAUGUUUUGUUGUUCCAAAAAUGUCCUUAGGACAAGCUCUAUCAUCUGGACUCUUUUCCUGCCAAAUUAACACCUGUUAUUAUAUUUUCGUUCUAUUCCCUGAAAUAAAUGCAAAAUACUAAAAGUGAGUAGAAUCCCGCAAUUAAUCCACAUCAAGUCAGGUAAUAGGAGGAAUUAAUAAUGAAAUAAAUGAUAAAAUUGCAACCUAUCAGACUCCAGGAUAGACGAAAGUUUGAAAGAGUCAAUUUCCUCAGAUUGGAAGGCAGAAUGAAUUCCCUGGUAAUAGCGCUUCCAUAGUAAAAUACAUUGAGCGACACCAAAUGAGUUAGAAAAUCUAAUCUUGGAAACUGAUAGGAAAUCUUCGAAGAACCCUGUGGAUGAAAGAAUAUGCAUCUCAGUUUCUGAAGAUUUGGCAACCUCUUUAUUAUUGAUUCUACAUCUUCACCACAAGAGAGAGAGAGACGGGAAAAGCUGACCAAAUUUCCCAACUGAGAGCAGCCUUCGAGCCCUUCAUCAUCCAAUGUGAAAGCAACAUGCAUAUUCACAUGAAGAUGCCUCAACCUUGUCAUGUGCCAAAUAGUAUCUGGUAAGACAUUUGCCAAAUAGUACAAGGGGACACAAAAGGCAUUUGCUUUUUUCCAUACAUGUGAAGAAAUUCUCGAUAUUUAAUGACUGCUAUAAGAAGAAAAUUAGCAAAAAUCCUAAUGAUCCAAAUCGAAUGGUAGAUUAGGGCUAUUAUAAUCUCUUAAUUGGCACUGUUUGAAUUGGUCUUGCUAAAGAAGAAUUUAUGUAAUAGUACAUAAAAACAUUGCAAAGAAACUUGUCCCUUCUGAUUAUUUAGCUGCUGUAGAUAUAUUUGAUUUUUCAAUAAUUACAGAAGAAUGCGUGGUUGAAUUGUUAUGAGUUAGCCCAGUGAAAACAUUUUGAUCGUGAUGUGAAUUGCUUUCAGAUACAAAACUUUGGAAGAAACUUGUUUAUUGCUAAUUCGAUUUUGGUUAGCUUAUAAGUAGUUGUUGGGAAUUCACACUACUGAUUAUUAUUUAUACAUUUAAGGGUCAAUUCAAUAUUUGAUAUCUUUAGCUUACAACAAAAUGGGGGAGAUUUACAUUGUUGAUUACUAUUAUUACAAGUUGUAAGCCAGUAUUACACUAGUUGGUUUACAAGCAAUUCUUGGACAUUCAAAUUAGUAGCUGCUGUUUUUACACCCAAGGGAUAAAAGUAUUAUUGUAGUUUGUUUAAAACCAAUUUGUGGAUAUUUACACCAGUAGUUACUACUUUAAGUGCUGGCUAAUCUUGUUACUCUACAACCAUUUGUUGGACAGUGGACAUUGGUUAAUAAAUCCGCCUUAUGCAUAUGCAAACAAACUUAUUAAAGAUACACUUGCAAGCUAGAGUUGGCUUGAUAUUAUGAAGGCAUGCUCAAGGAUUCUUAAUUAGGUUCGAAAAUUUUGCAUUAAAUUGGGUUAAAUAUAAGAAAACCUUUUAUCGUUUGUUGAAUGUUUAACUUUAACUCCUUAAGAUUCAGAAACCUACAUUCUAACUCCUUAUGAUUUUAACUAAAUUGAAAGUUGGAUAGAAACUAUCUAAACUAAUGGUUGCAUCUAAGAUGUCAAAAUUGUCCUUUAUAAAUAAUAAGAUUUAAUACAAAGAUCUAAUAAUGAUUUUCUUUGCUGGAAGAAUGUAGUUGCUAAAGGAAUCAAUAAGAUUGUUUACCACAAGGGGUAGGAAUGUAGUUUUCGAAUCAUAAAGAGUUAAGAAUAUACAUUAAAGGACUUAUUGAAAUUAUUUAUCAGGAAGAGUUAGAAUGUAAGUUUUUGAAGUUGUUAAAGGAUUAAUUGAGAUUGAUUACUACGAAAGGCAAGCAUAUAGGUUUCUGAAGCAUAGAGAUUUAAGAAUAUAGAUAGUACUGUACCCUUCCAUUGAUAUGCAGGUAUGACAAGUAGUUUUAGGUUAAGCAUUUUGUUUGUUUAGCAAUCUAUUUUUCAAUUGUAUUGUUGAGUACUUCAUUCACAUACAUAAUUUGAGCAUUUGCACUCUUUUUAGGUGUGUAAUUACCAUUUUUUAGAUGGCUUGAAAAGGCCUGAAUGUUUGUCACUCUUUGUUAUUCAUUAAUAUAUGUGAAAAUGAAAGUCCAUAAAUUGUUAGAGUCUAAUUUUUUUAAUGCUAGAAAUUAUUUGACUAGUUGAGAUUGCUAAGUAAUCCUUGUAACAAGUUUAGUGCACUAAAUUACUUACAAUCUCAGAAGAUAUGUUACCUACAACUGUAGAUUUUCUUGUUAGAUGUUGUCUUUGUUUUCUUUUUUGCCUAUCAAACUGUAGUUUGGGAAGCUAUUUCUAUUUGAAAUUCUUGUUAGUAUGCAUUCACAAUAUUUCAUUUGCAACUCUAGAGCAAAUUUGGAAUUUUUUUUUUAGCUUUAGUUGGAGUGUGAGAUGUUUACAUUAGUUAUUGCUCACGGUCUUAUAAUUGGUAUUCAGCAUCUACAUAUAUUUGCUACGUAUUAUUUAUCUUUUUUAUUUCUUAUUUAUUGUCUUUGAUGUUAUUUUCAAUAAUAAUACAGGACAUUUUUUAUUUUACCUCAUAGCUAUAGAAAUUGUUUACCAUCCACAUUUUUGUAGUUUAUUAAUUAUAGGCUAAAAAAUGUUGUAUAGAGCCUUUCAGUAAAACAAUGUUACUUAUUUUGCUUCCGGAACUCAUUUUAUCACAUAUCAAAGCAAGAGCUAUUUAUUUUUUCACCAAAUCUUAGCAUAAUAAAAAUAUUAACUUGCUUAGUAUAGUUGUGUUAUUUGUUUUGACUCUUGAUAAACAAUGUGUACACUUUUUUCUAUAUUAGUCUGUUCUUAUAAUAAUAAUUCUGCUUGAAAAUAUAAUAUGAUAAAUUAAUUCUGCAUCGCAAAGGAAAAGACAAUUAACUAAUCCUUUUAAAAGAAGAACACUUAACUAAUGGCCAAGGUAAUGUUUUUAGAAUCUUUUUCGUUGCUAAAUUUAGGUUUCGAAUCCCCUGCCUAGCAGUUAGGUGUGGCCUUGUGAUUUCAACUUUUAUGCAGUUGCUUUUGCACUUCUUCUUUGAUUAAAGGAACACCGUUAGUAAUGCUGCAACUACAAUUCUCUAUUGCUUUACUGGAUAGCCUUGGUGAUCGUUAUGCAUCAUAUUAUGGCCUAUUAAGCCAUAAUAUGAAAGAAAGGAUGGUAUACUGAUUAAAAUUAGAAUUAGUAUCAUGUACCGAUUAAUACGAGCACCUUGUUAGAAGUAGGGUUGCACACGAUUCAAGCUACUCGCAAGUCACUCGCGAGAAGUUUGAGUUGAGCUCGGUCAAUAUCGAAAUCGAACUCAAGUUCAAAAAUACUCAAUUCGUUAGCCCGUGAAUCGACUCGAUUUUAUAUAUAUAUAUAUAUAUAUAUAUAAUUUAAUAGUAAAAUUACAUAUAUAUCCCGAAUGCAUUACCAACAAAACCAACUUAAACAACUUGAAUUCACCUUUCCAAAGAUCUCAAGCAAUAAUUGAUAGUUGAGUAUCCAGAUUGAACAUCCAUUGCGUCAAUUAGUUUGAAGUUGAAGAAACACAUCAUCUCACAAAUGAAUCGAGAAAAGAACAAGUUGCUGAAAUUUUAUUAUCUUACAAGUUCGUAGAGUAAUACAACAGAAUCCACAAUCAUGCUCAUCAUCUCGAAUAUGAACUAAUAAUGACUUUGAUGUCCCCAACUGCUUCCCCGAUUCCUUUUGCAGACUCUUCUGCAGAUUGUCCACACCAGUGCACUUCAAUCACUUCCAGUGUACCUAUGUCAGCAAAAUCAUUCGGGAUUUCCCCGAGGUCUUUGCAAUUUUGCAAGACAAGCCGUUCAAGUUUGGGAAGGUGAUCACAAGUAGCAUUCCAUUGACAAAUGUUCAGAUCGUCUAACUUCAAGAAUUUAAGUUCCUUGAACUGUUCUUCCUCCAUUUCCCAUACCAGCCCCUCAAAGGCACCAAGAAGUAACUUGAGGACUUCCAGGUUGGGUAGUCUCCCAAUUGUUGAGAUGUGGCUCCAUGGUAGGUGAAAGUUUGAAAGAGUCAAUUCCCUCAGAUUUGGUGGGAGAACGAAUUCACUGGUGAUGGCUCUCCCAAAGUAAAAUACAUUGAGCGACACCAAAUGAGCAAG
rnacentral:lncRNA from 1 species